rnacentral:tRNA from 5 species
GGACCUUUAGCUCAGUUGGUUAGAGCAGACGGCUCAUAACCGUCCGGUCGUAGGUUCGAAUCCUACAAGGUCCA